rnacentral:ncRNA from 1 species
CUGCGUGAGACGCCGUCGGCAAGUUCCGACUAGACGGUUCGCCAACCCUCGUGGGUGGCUCGGAUGACGAAGCGGCCGACGUUAGACGACGUCGGCGAGAGGGCCUC